rnacentral:misc_RNA from 1 species
GAUGAAGAACGUAGCGAAAUGCGAUACUUGGUGUGAAUUGCAGAAUCCCGUGAACCAUCGAGUCUUUGAACGCAAGUUGCGCCCGAAGCCAUUAGGCCGAGGGCACGCCUGCCUGGGCGUCACACGUCGUUGCCCCCCCAUCUACUCCUUCGGGAUUGCGGGGGGCGGAUGAUGGCCUCCCGUGCGCCUAGUCGCGCGGUUGGCAUAAAAGUCAAGUCCUCGGCGACGCACGCCACGACAAUCGGUGGUUGCGAAACCUCGGUUGCCCGUCGUGUGCGGUCGUCGCGCAUCGAGGGCUCGAAAAAAUUGCCGGGCUCCGGCUCGGCUUUCAACGCGACCCCAGGUCAGGCGGGGUUACCCGCUGAAUUUAAGCAUAUCAAUAAGCGGAGGA